rnacentral:rRNA from 1 species
UGCAGUCGAGCGAAUGGAUUAAGAGCUUGCUCUUAUGAAGUUAGCGGCGGACGGGUGAGUAACACGUGGGUAACCUGCCCAUAAGACUGGGAUAACUCCGGGAAACCGGGGCUAAUACCGGAUAACAUUUUGAACCGCAUGGUUCGAAAUUGAAAGGCGGCUUCGGCUGUCACUUAUGGAUGGACCCGCGUCGCAUUAGCUAGUUGGUGAGGUAACGGCUCACCAAGGCAACGAUGCGUAGCCAACCUGAGAGGGUGAUCGGCCACACUGGGACUGAGACACCGCCCACACUCCUACGGGAGGCAGCAUAAUGGAAUCUUCCCCAAUGGACGAAAGUCUGACGGAGCAACGCCGCGUGAGUGAUGAAGGCUUUCGGGUCUUAAAACUCUGUUGUAAGGGAAGAACAAUUGCUACUUGAAUAAUCUGGCACCUUGACGGAACCUAACCCGAAAGCCUCCGCUAACUACGUGCCAGCAGCCGCGGUAAUACAUACGUGGCAAGCAUUAUCCGGAAUUAUUGGGCGUAAAGCGCGCGCAGGUGGUUUCAUGUG